rnacentral:rRNA from 1 species
AAUUCUAGUCUUAUCGGUGGAUCACUCGGCUCGUAGGUCGAUGAAGAACGCAGCUAACUGCGAUAAUUAGUGUGAACUGCAGAAACCUUGAACACAGAACUUUCGAAUGCACAUUGCGCCAUUGGAAUCACAUCCUUUGGCACGCCUGGUUCAGGGCCGUAA